rnacentral:rRNA from 1 species
AUUGAACGCUGGCGGCAGGCUUAACACAUGCAAGUCGAGCGGAGAUGAGGUGCUUGCACCUUAUCUUAGCGGCGGACGGGUGAGUAAUGCUUAGGAAUCUGCCUAUUAGUGGGGGACAACAUUCCGAAAGGAAUGCUAAUACCGCAUACGCCCUAUGGGGGAAAGCAGGGGAUCUUCGGACCUUGCGCUAAUAGAUGAGCCUAAGUCGGAUUAGCUAGUUGGUGGGGUAAAGGCCUACCAAGGCGACGAUCUGUAGCGGGUCUGAGAGGACGAUCCGCCACACUGGGACUGAGACACGGCCCAGACUCCUACGGGAGGCAGCAGUGGGGAAUAUUGGACAAUGGGCGGAAGCCGGAUCCAGCCAUGCCGCGUGUGUGAAGAAGGCCUUUUGGUUGUAAAGCACUUUAAGCGAGGAGGAGGCUACCUGGAUUAAUACUCUAGGAUAGUGGACGUUACUCACAGAAUAAGCACCGGCUAACUCUGUGCCAGCCGCCGCGGUAA